GCCGAGCUGGCCCGGCAGGCCGACGCGGUCCACGACUGGGUGGACGCGUGCUACGCGUGGUUCCUCACCGUGGCCCGGUAC
rnacentral:tRNA from 1 species